GGACAUUGUCUACUUGACUGCUAGUCACACACCUUUCUUGUGUGGGCUGUGGGGGGGGGCGGCGGGGGGGAAGUAACUUUGACAGGAACCAGGGGUCCAGGAUAGAACGCCUUCUCUCCCAUGCAGGUGGAAAUUACCACCCAUCGGGUCCCAUCGGGGUUCAAGACCUAGGCUCAACGCUCGACUGGAGACCAGGCUGUCUGUGCAUAGCCCAUUGCCCCACACACCAUCACUUCACAGGUGGACCUUCUUGCUACUAUCCUCUAAGUGCUAAGAUGACAGGCAUGCACCACCACACCCAUCUUGGUGGUUUUUCUCUGGAGGCAAGAAGACUUGGACAAGGAGAUGGCACAUGGACUAGCAUGGAAUGGCUAUGUGCUGUGCCCAAAGGCUGAUGUUUGGAGAGAACAGAUGGUGGAUGUAUGAAUUCAUCCCUUGUUGAGGGUUUUCUGCCUACUCUUCCUGUCUGCCUGUCACUGCUGCUGGGAUCAGCCUGGCAAAAGGCCCAGCUGGUCAAGUGUACAAGCAGUGGCCUGCAUGUCAGCCUUGAGGCAUGCAGUUUCAGAUUCCAGAGGUUUGCUGCUGGCUCCCAGCCCUGCUGACUCAACUUGGGGGUUUUUCAGUCAAUUUGCCCUAAGGGUCUUCUUGUCAGACAGGUUUUCUGUGCCAGGCUUCAGGGGAACUGUCAGAAAAAGGAACACCAAUGCAAACUUGUUGAAUAAAAACUUAACCAGGCAGCAUAAACAAGGAAAGCUGUCUGCCCC
ensembl:lincRNA 4931413I07Rik RIKEN cDNA 4931413I07 gene